ACUCCUACGGGAGGCAGCAGUGGGGAAUUUUGGACAAUGGGCGAAAGCUCGAUCCAGCAAUGCCGCGUGAGUGAAGAAGGCCUUCGGGUUGUAAAGCUCUUUUGUCAGGGAAGAAACGGUGUGGGCUAAUAUCCCGCACUAAUGACGGUACCUGAAGAAUAAGCACCGGCUAACUACGUGCCAGCAGCCGCGGUAAUACGUAGGGUGCAAGCGUUAAUCGGAAUUACUGGGCGUAAAGCGUGCGCAGGCGGUUUUGUAAGUUUGUCGUGAAAGCCCCGGGCUCAACCUGGGAAUUGCGAUGAAGACUGCAAGGCUUGAAUCUGGCAGAGGGGGGUAGAAUUCCACGUGUAGCAGUGAAAUGCGUAGAGAUGUGGAGGAACACCGAUGGCGAAGGCAGCCCCCUGGGUCAAGAUUGACGCUCAUGCACGAAAGCGUGGGGAGCAAACAGGAUUAGAUACCCUGGUAGUCCACGCCCUAAACGAUGUCUACUAGUUGUCGGGUUUUAAUUGACUUGGUAACGCAGCUAACGCGUGAAGUAGACCGCCUGGGGAGUACGGUCGCAAGAUUAAAACUCAAAGGAAUUGACGGGGACCCGCACAAGCGGUGGAUGAUGUGGAUUAAUUCGAUGCAACGCGAAAAACCUUACCUACCCUUGACAUGGACGGAAGCCACGAGAGAUCGAGGUGUGCUCGAAAGAGAACCGUCACACAGGUGCUGCAUGGCUGUCGUCAGCUCGUGUCGUGAGAUGUUGGGUUAAGUCCCGCAACGAGCGCAACCCUUGUCAUUAGUUGCUACGAAAGAGCACUCUAAUGAGACUGCCGGUGACAAACCGGAGGAAGGUGGGGAUGACGUCAAGUCCUCAUGGCCCUUAUGGGUAGGGCUUCACACGUCAUACAAUGGUACAUACAGAGGGCCGCCAACCCGCGAGGGGGAGCUAAUCCCAGAAAGUGUAUCGUAGUCCGGAUUGUAGUCUGCAACUCGACUACAUGAAGUUGGAAUCGCU
rnacentral:rRNA from 1 species